AUGAACUACAAUCAAGUAUACAAGACUGUGUACCAGAACACGUCACGUCAAGGACAGUGUACUGUUUCAGUUAAGAAGGAGAAAUACAUAGACACCAACAAAAAUGAAACAGAUUUACACGAGGCCAUUUACAAAGUCGGGCCACUUGAAGUGAAGUGUCUAGUUAAGGAGGAUUGUCAAUCUGACCCAGCGCCUUUCCAGUCGUAUUGCAUUCUUCAGGACUUUAGGCAUCUGAAUAUAGUUUCGAUUGAAAACUACUAUUUUGAUGAAUGUGGCGAAGGACGAAUGGUUUUGUCCUGGGUGGACCAGACCCUUAGAGGUUGGUUGGUGAAAGUGGCAGAUGAAAAGCACAGGUUGAAAGCAUUUGAAUCGACAUGCAUGAGUUGCAAACCGUCAACCAUUUUCAGAAAAAUGGUGAUUGGUAUGUGCGAUGCAGUGCAAUGCAUGUUGAAAAACAACGUAUACCCUUGUUCCAUCCUCUUGGACGAUAUUUACUUGGUGAAUCAUGCAUCACCAACUGUUAAAAUACUUGUUUCUGAUGUGAUACAAAUUUAUCGUAACUCUCAUAGAAUCUCUCAUGAAAGGUUGAUUUGGAAAGAUGUGAGAGAAGUGGUGGAGGAAUGUGUUACAAUUGCUGCGAAAAGAGCUAUACACCCCGACGCGAAGAGAUUUUUCCAGUAUAUAGGCUUUGCAAGUGUGAAGAAGUUAGAGUCCUACCCUGACACAUGGAAUGAUCAAGAUAAAAUUCAAUACCUGUUGCAUGUUAUGUCUGGGAAAAAGAAUUAUGUGAGCUCCAAAGUUAAUGGCAUUAGAAAUUUUAAUUGGCCGAAGGAAAACUCAGGUCAUUUGCCUCGUUUAUUUCGUGACCUGAAGGAUCAUCAAGAAAAAGAAACCAAGUCAACAUACAACACUAAUGAUCCUUACGACUAUCUGAGAUUGUGUCGGAAUGGCAUUAAACAUUGGGAUUUGUUACCAAGUCAUAUAACGAUCAUUUGUGGUGAUGUUUCUGGUUUCCUCCGAUAUAUAGAACGGUGGAAUCCCGGAAUUUGGUGUGAUCUAUAUGAGGCACUUGAGGCCUAA
rnacentral:rRNA from 1 species